CGGACGGGUGAGUAACACGUGGAUAACCUACCUAUAAGACUGGGAUAACUUCGGGAAACCGGAGCUAAUACCGGAUAAUAUAUUGAACCGCAUGGUUCAAUAGUGAAAGACGGUUUUGCUGUCACUUAUAGAUGGAUCCGCGCCGCAUUAGCUAGUUGGUAAGGUAACGGCUUACCAAGGCAACGAUGCGUAGCCGACCUGAGAGGGUGAUCGGCCACACUGGAACUGAGACACGGUCCAGACUCCUACGGUAGGCAGCAGCC
rnacentral:rRNA from 1 species